rnacentral:rRNA from 1 species
CACGUAGGGGGCGAGCGUUGUCCGGAUUUAUUGGGCGUAAAGAGCUCGUAGGCGGUUCGGCAAGUCGGGUGUGAAAUUUCGAGGCUCAACCUCGAAACGCCACUCGAUACUGCUGUGACUGGAGUCCGGUAGAGGAGUGCGGAAUUCCGUGGUGUAGCGGUGAAAUGCGCAGAUAUCAGGAGGAACACCAACGGCGAAGGCAG